rnacentral:tRNA from 1 species
GGCUGGGUAGCUCAGUUGGUUAGAGCACCGUCCUGAUAUGCCAUUGUUGUGGGUUCAGUUCCCAGUCAGGCCA